rnacentral:rRNA from 1 species
AUUGAACGCUGGCGGCAGGCCUAACACAUGCAAGUCGAACGAGUGGCGGACGGGUGAGUAAUGUCUGGGAAACUGCCCGAUGGAGGGGGAUAACUACUGGAAACGGUAGCUAAUACCGCAUACCAUCGGAUGUGCCCCGAUGGGAUUAGCUAGUAGGUGGGGUAAAGGCUCACCUAGGCGACGAUCCCUAGCUGGUCUGAGAGGAUGACCAGCCACACGGGAACGGAGACACGGUCCAGACUCCUACGGGAGGCAGCAGUGGGGAAUAUUGCACAAUGGGGGCAAGCCUGAUGCAGCCAUGCCGCGUGUAUGAAGAAGGCCGGCGGGGUGUAAAGGACUGUCAGCGGGGAGGCGUUACCCGCAGAAGAAGCACCGGCUAACUCCGUGCCAGCAGCCGCGGUAAUUC